rnacentral:misc_RNA from 1 species
AACGCACAUUGCGCCCUUUGGUAUUCCGAAGGGCAUGCCUGUUCGAGCGUCAUUAUCACCCCUCAAGCCCCCGGGCUUGGUGUUGGACGGUUUGGUGAAGCCCUCCGGGCGUCACCCCUCCUAAAGACAAUGACGGCGGCCUGUUGGAACCCCCGGUACAUUGAGCUUCUUAACUGAGCACGUAUCGGAUCAAGGGAACCCAGGCUCCGGUCUUCUCCCUUCAUUGGGAAAAUCCUUUUCAAGGUUGACCUCGGAUCAGGUAGGAAUACCCGCUGAACUUAA